UACAUGGGGUGCAAACGUUGCUCGGAAUUAUUGGGCGUAAAGCGCGCGUAGGCGGUUACUCAAGUCGGAUGUGAAAGCCCUCGGCUUAACUGAGGAAGUGCACCCGAAACUGAGUAGCUAGAGUACUAAAGAGGGUCGCGGAAUUCUCGGUGUAGAGGUGAAAUUCGUAGAUAUCGGGAGGAACACCGGUGGCGAAGGCGGCGACCUGGGUAGAUACUGACGCUGAGGCGCGAAAGCGUGGGGAGCAAACAGG
rnacentral:rRNA from 1 species